rnacentral:lncRNA from 1 species
UUGACUUUGAAAGGAAAAGGGAACUGAGAGAGCCCCCAGAUGCCUGAGUAGGAGAGACAGGGGACGGAGGUUGCCAAGCACUGGCUGCCACUUGUCAGGUUCCUUGUGUUAGACAUGUAUAAUCUGUAUUCCAUCACUGGGUACCCGGACCCACCAGGUAAGGCCCUGGCCAGGCUGGGGCUGGGGCCCAGGUGUGAUCAGGACCCAGGGUACAGAAUCCCCACCAUGGGGCAGCUGAGGCAGAGACCAGGGCUUGAGGGAUGUAGGGAGGAGGGAAUGGCUGGGCGCUGACUUGCCUUUCCCCGGAAGGGACCAUGGAGGAGGAGGAGGAGGAGGAAGAGGAGCAGGAGGAGGACUAUGAGAACAUGGCACCUCCCUACAAGGACCUUCCUCCCAAGCCAGGAACCAUGGAGGAGGAGGAGGAGGAGGAGGAUGACUAUGAGAACUCAACACCUCCCUACAAGGACCUUCCUCCCAAGCCAGGUAAGUGGACUUUUUGGAGUGUGAUGUGGGGGAAUACAGGGAACAGGAUCUUCAGGGGGCAUUGGCUGGGCAUUGUAGACACACAGUUAGUCUCCUCUCUACCCAGCCCAUGCCGGGCACCAUGGAACCCACACCCCGCCAGGAGGAUCUACUAGUCUGAUGGGGGAGGCAGUUUUGGACACAGCCUUGUUGAGCAUUGCUGAGAAAGGAGGGGUCAGGAGACUGGCAAAAUCCUUGGGAGACUGAGGACUCAACUAGAGGAAGGGACUUUGGGGUGGGACUUGAGGGAUGAGCAGACAUUUCUUUUUUUUUUUUCAGAUGGAGUUUCACUCUGUCGCCCAGGCUGGAGUUCAAUGGCACAAUCUCUGCUCACUGCAACCUUGCCUCCUGGGUUCAAGCGAUUCUUCUGCCUCAGCCUCCCAAUAAGCUGGGAUUACAGGCACCCACCACCAUGCCCGUCUAAUUUUUGUAUUUUUACUAGAGACGGGGUUUCACCAUAUUGGUCAGGCUGGCCUCAAACUCCUGACCUCAGGUGAUCCGCCCAUCUCGGCAUCCCAAAGUACUGCGAUUACAGGCAUGAGCCACCACGCCCUGCCGAGUAGACAUUUCUGUAGUAGAGAAGCACAGGAAAGAAUUGUGGGGUGCAAAGUCCCUGAGUCAUAAAAGCUGGUGCUUGAGAAACUGGGAGUGGACUGUGGGAUCCUCAAUCUCUUCUUAUUAACACUCAAAGCCCAGGGCUUUAUUAGUCUUGGAUCUCAAUAAACCCAAGGCAUAGCCCA